rnacentral:lncRNA from 1 species
UGACGGUGACGUAGCUCUUCUUUCCCUUGAGUUCGGCCAACUGGAGUUCUAGGAGGCACAUAUGAUUUCUGACGCUUUCCUCUUCAGCAGCUCGAUAAAAAAGUUUCUCCAAAGUUUUCGUUGAUUUUGAUUUCGUAUGAAGGUAGGGAAUUUAUUUUUAAAGAUAAACGUUUUUAAUUUAGAAUGCCUACAAAAUUAAUUGAAUAAUUGCAAAUAUAUCUAUAUCUAUAUAUAUAUAUAUUAAUUAAAAGAUUUGGUUUUGGAAAAUUAAAUUAUUUAAAAUAUAUUUAGUUAAGAAAAGAUUUACUCUAUUUUAAAGUUUGAUUUAUUAAGAAAAAUAUAAUGUUUUAAACCCAAUCUUUUAAGGAGAGAUUUUGUUUUAAGUAAAGAUUUGAGCUCGGUUUAUUAAGAAAAGGAAUCUCUGUCACAGGAGAGCAGAGAACAAGAAUUUAAAGAAUAUAUUAAUUAAUGAAGUGUCUGCCACAGGAGAGCAGAUGUGAUAUUGUUUGGGCCUUAGUGCCAAAUGUAAAGUGGGGACGUCCACACACUGAGAACUAUUUUCCAGAUGUACGCUUAUUGAUUUGGAAAGUCACACUGAUGCGGCCUAGCCAUACGACUUAUAAGCACACUGAUGCAUCUGGAAAGCCAUACCAGCUGGGACUUGUGCCUGGGUAAUGUCGGGAGCGAGUAGACAACCGACACAUGAGCUCAUGGCCUGCGUUAGGAAUAGACAUGCAUCAUGUUGUUUGCACAUUUGCAUUUGAUUGCGCUUGCUUAUCUUAUUACUUUGUGAUUAUAUUGUUUGUCUUGUUGUGACUUGCUUGUACAUUGAAUUGAAUCUCUUGCUUGCACUACUUGUUUGUAAGUGUAUUAAAGUGAUUACGAGUUGACAUUUGACUGAGGAUUAACUAUGUGGCUGAGAGACAGAAAAUGUGUCUAAUUUUAUAUUUAAGUUUUGAUUUGAGUUUAGAGUUUUUUUAAAAAAAGAGGUAAUUUGUUAGCUAAAGUAGAACAAGAGUAUUUUCAAAGGGUUUGAUAAAAAAAAUUUUUAUUGAGCAAAAUUAAUUAUUUGCAUUUUAAUCCAUUACUUUUACGGCAUUCCCAUUCCCUAUUGAGAACGUGUGGUUUGUUCUCACCCCAAAUUUUCCACCCUUUCAGUGACAUAGGUUCGGAGAUUCAGUAAGAAGCUGCAGACGACUAGUAGAUUUACUUGUGAUUCCUGUUGUUUUUAUAGAGUUCCCUCGUCCUUGUUGCUUUAGGGUUUUUUUUUAUUUUAUGCAGAGGGAUAGGUAUUGUAUUUGAAUUUUACAUUGAAUUUAAUCGUAUAACAUCUAUUAUUAUUAGUAAUUAUGUGGUUAUUAUUAUUUGAAGAUCUUUUGUUAUGUGAUUUUUAAUUACUAAAAUCUUUUUUUUUUUGAAAUUUUCUUAAAAACAGAAACGCGAUAUCGACGUAAAGGCUCAAUAGUAAAUUUAUAAUAAAGAAAAUCAGGUCCGUAACGCCUUACUUUUGGUACGAUCAUGACAUGCUAAAAGUUAGGGUGUUACAUUAUGGUAUCAGAGCAGUUCGUUCCCGUUAGAGCCUUGGGAAUGGACUGACUAUGCUUUACUGCAUACUCUGAGUGUUUGUCAUGCAGUAGGACUUGUCCCACUGACAAGAGUUUGAGUUUCAAAUGCAUGAUUGUCUAUUGAUUAAUGCUGUUAGUCAACCGUUGCAUCUCUCAUGGUAUUAGGUUUGGCCAACUUAAUACUAAUGAUUCAUGUAUAUGGAAACACUAAUGGAUUAUCAUAGACGAGAUAGAAGUAACAGGUAACGUGAAUCGUGGGUUUUUGGAACGUUAGAAGUUAAGUUUAGGGGUUAGCUCCGUUUCAACGCAUAAUCCUUAUUCGUGCUAAUGUGAAUCUCUUCCUUGGUUGUUUGUCGUAAGACUUUUUGUUUCAAACUUCUUUCAUCAGAUAUGGUUUCUUUCACAUUUGCAAACUGAACAUGCCACACCUCUCUAUUUCUUUUCUUCGAUAUUUUUGAAAAUGGAAUUGAUAUGAAUCUUUUCCAUCUUAUAUCAAUUUUCGAGGGCAAAAAUUUUUGUAGGGUGGGUAGGAUAUAACAUCCGAAUUUUUAAAAUUAAAUUUUAUGCUUUGAAUUUAAAAAUAAAAUUUAAUUUAAUGAUGACUUAUUCUAUUAUUUUAAAUUAUCUAUCAGAAAUUAUAUUGAUAGUUACAGUCUAAAUUAAUUUUUAUAAAUAUUAUUAUUACUAUUAUUAAUAUUAUUAUUAUUGUUCAAAAAGAAAAAAAAUGGCCGAAGGAUAUUAUUAUACAUAUAAGCCACUAUAUAUAUUUAUUAUAUAUCUAUAUAAGAAACAAAGAAAGAUUUGUUACAUAUAUACAUAACAUAUAUAUAUCUAUUCACUUAUAAUAAUUCAUUAUCAUCAUUAUAGGGGAACGUGGCUUGUAACCCUUUAAUACAUAUAACCAUUCCCUUAAUCAACCAAAUGAACCAAAUGAAAGAAUUAGAAACGUGGCUUAUGUGCUCUUGUGCAUAUAUAUAUACAUACAUAUAAUUGUUACACAUGCCACUCUUAAUUAUUAAUCAAUGACACCUAAUGAAGCAUUAGCCACCACAAAUUAUCCAUUCAUUCCUAUCAGCCUUAACACUAUCAUUUCUUUACUCUCACCACCGAAUUGAACUUGGCAAAAAAAAGAAGAAAGAAAGGCCGAGAGAGAAUGUGAGCUUUCAUGGAAACCAUGAGUUUUUAGCUUCAAUUUCUUGUGAUCCGUAACUCUAAUAAAAAAUCUAAUCCGAUAAAAGUGUUUGUAUCUUUCCCUUGAGUUCGGCCAACUGGAGUUCUAGGAGGCACAUAUGAUUUCUGACGCUUUCCUCUUCAACAGCUCGAUAAAAAAGUUUCUCCAAAGUUUUCGUUGAUUUUGAUUUCGUAUGAAGGUAGGGGAUUUAUUUUUAAAGAUAAACGUUUUUAAUUUAGAAUGCCUACAAAAUUAAUUGAAUAAUUACAAAUAUAUCUAUAUAUAUAUAUUAAUAAUAGUAAUGUUAUUGAGUAUGGAUUAUUGCUGUGAAUGUGACUGUUUUCUGAUUAUUAAGAAUUUCGCUGAUUUGAGAAUUGUUGAGAAAAAGGCUGGUGAAUUGUUGAGGAAUAGGGAACCCGUAAGGGUGGUUUAGACUGAAUUUUAGAGAAAAUACCGCCAAAAUUUUAUAAAAUCUGAGGUUUUAUUUGAAAAGUUAUUUUAAAAGAUUUGGUUUUGAAAAAUUAAAUUAUUUAAAAUAUAUUUAGUUAAGAAAAGAUUUACUCUAUUUUAAAGUUUGAUUUAUUAAGAAAAAUAUAAUGUUUUAAACCCAAUCUUUUAAGGAGAGAUUUUGUUUUAAGUAAAGAUUUGAGCUCGGUUUAUUAAGAAAAGGAAUCUCUGUCACAGGAGAGCAGAGAACAAGGAUUUAAAGAAUAUAUUAAUUAAUGAAGUGUCUGCCAUAGGAGAGCAGAUGUGAUAUUGUUUGGGCCUUAGUGCCAAAUGUAAAGUGGGGACGCCCACACACUGAGAACUGUUUUCCAGAUGUAAGCUUAUUGAUUUGGAAAGUCACACUGAUGCGGCCUAGCCGUACGACUUAUAAGCACACUGAUGCAUCUGGAAAGCCAUACCUGGGACUUGUGCCUGGGUAAUGUCGGGAGCGGGUAGGCAACCGACACAUGAGCUCAUGGCCUGCGUUAGGAAUAGACAUGCAUCAUGUUGUUUGCACAUUUGCAUUUGAUUGCGCUUGCUUGUCUUAUUACUUUGUGAUUGUAUUGUUUGUCUUGUUGUGACUUGCUUGUACAUUGAAUUGAAUCUCUUACUUGCACUACUUGUUUGUAAGUGUAUUAAAGUGAUUACAAGUUGACAUUUGACUGAAGAUUAACUAUGUGGCUGAGAGACAGAAAAUGUGACUAAUUUUAUAUUUAAGUUUUGAUUUGAGUUUAGAGUUUUUUUAAAAAAAGAGGUAAUUUGUUAGCUAAAGUAGAACAAAAGGGUUUGAUAAAAAUAUAUUUUUAUUGAGCAAAGUUAAUUAUUUGCAUUUUAAUCCAUUACUUUUACGGCAUUCCCAUUGCCUACUGAGAACGUGUGGUUUGUUCUCACCCCAAAAUUUCCACCCUUUCAGUGACACAGGUUCGGAGAUUCAGUAAGAAGCUGCAGACGACUAGUAGAUUUACUUGUGAUUCCUGUUGUUUUUAUAGAGUUCCCUCGUCCUUGUUGCUUUAGGAUUUUUUUUAUUUUAUGCAGAUGGAUAGGUAUUGUAUUUGAG